AAUAAACUUUGUUCCAUCAUUCUAGCAUCGUCAUACAUAUAAGGAUAACGUGCUAUCUUCUUAAUCCUAUGCAUAUGAAGACUACUGGGAUGAACAAGCAUCAGCCCGGCAUUAAAAGUUUCAGAUUCUUCUGGGGGCGUCGCAUGUCCAGGGUUACGAUCGUCACAUGCGCCAAGAAGAUAUGGAUAGAAUUCUGAGCGAGGAGCACCAUAGGCAUCGAAAUUGUCGCUAAACUGAUAAUCCUCUUCAUCAUCUGGCUUCUUAAAGAUAGGAAAGCUAAACAUAUCGGGUUCUGCAGGAGAUUCAUAAACAUAGGGAGUAUCAAAAAU